rnacentral:ncRNA from 1 species
UACCUGGUUGAUCCUGCCAGUAGUCAUAUGCUUGUCUCAAAGAUUAAGCCAUGCAAGUCUAAGUACGAGCUCUCGUACAGUGAAACUGCGAAUGGCUCAUUAAAUCAGUUAUGGUUCAUUUGAUCGUACAGUUUACUUGGAUAACUGUGGUAAUUCUAGAGCUAAUACAUGCGAGAAGCGCCGACCUCGCGGGAGGCGUGCAUUUAUCAGACCAAAAACCGGCCGCGUCUUCGGGCGCGUUCGCCUUGGUGACUCUGGAUAACUUUGCGGAUCGCACGGUCUAGCACCGGCGACGGAUCAUUCAAGUGUCUGCCCUAUCAACUUUCGUCGGUACGGUAUUUGCCUACCGAGGUUCUUACGGGUGACGGGGAAUCAGGGUUCGAUUCCGGAGAGGGAGCCUGAGAAACGGCUACCACAUCC